rnacentral:lncRNA from 1 species
GUAAAAUCGUUUUAUUUUAUUGAUUAUGUUUAUGAAAAAUCUUAGGAAAAACAUAUUCAAAACAUCAAAAGAAUUCCAUAACACUAUUUAUGUCUAUUGUCAAACAAAUCAUUUUAUCGAAAAAUGUGUAGCUGUGACGAUCAAAAUUAAAAUACAAUUGUUUAUCAAAACACCUUUCAAAUAAAAGCAUACAAGUGUGCCUCAUUAUUAAAGUUAGCCACUAGCAACUGCUUCUUUGAAUCAUCAUAACAAAUUGAAAAAGGACGAUCAAGACCAUCACUUCCUGCCAAUACAGCUCUAUGGCGUUGUCCGUCAGGGGAGAUAACUACAACAUUGUUCGACCUGGACCCCGCCACAUACACAUUGCCAUCAAUAUCUACGUCAAUACCACGAGGCUCCUUCAGAAGGCUUUCAUUUUUGAAUGUCCAUUGUGGUUUACCUUGUUGAUCAUAACAAGUAACAGCAUUUGUUUCCGCGUUUGUGUGAUAGAUUUGGUUCCGAAAUGUUGCAAUGUAACAAAAACUUGGCAUUUUAUCUCGGACUAUUUGAGUAAUUGACUCAUCGGAAAGAUUUAUCAUUCGGAUUUCAUUUUUAUAACCAGUAUAUAUUAAAUUAUUUUCUCUAAGUGCUAUGCCAUAAAUAUACCAGUCGAGUGUAAUUGUUUUCGUGAUUUGUUUUCUUUCCACGUUUAUAAUGGCAAUA